UCUUUCCCUGAAUGUAAUAGAACAUUUUCCCAUUGGUUGAUUGAAGUUUGCGUCUCUUUUGUUUCCGGUUUCCGUAUUCACCUUUACUAAUGUUAAAAUUCAUUCUAAGAGCUCGAUAUUUUUUAGGAAUGUCGCUCUCCUUAUAGAGAUAUUAAUCUAAUGAAUUAUUUCAGCACCAAAGUAAUGUUGAGUACAUUUUUUGCAGACAAGAGGGCUCACCAACUAGAGGGUUAUCACAAUGACUGCGGUGGACACACUCUGCUACUAUCGCCGCUGUCCGAAAGGUUUAAGAAAGUUUUGGCUGCACCUACCAGACCAUCUUCCAGUCGUAUAUUUUGUUUAUUUGCCAUUUACUGCAUAGCUUCAAAGAUGGCGGACCCACCUCGAUCACGUUUUGCUUGUUCUCAUUUGCCAUAACAUCCUUAGAGAGUCGUCCUCGAUUCGUGGCGUCCCUGAGGGAGCACUAUCUCGGGCGGGCGGUUAAGGCGGGAUCGGCGUAGGUCUCUUCCCUGCAGUUGCAUUUGCCUUGCGGGCUCUAGCAAUAUCAGGAAAUGGUAACCGCGGAGUUUCGGCCUUGUUCCGCAGGGGGUCGCUUCAACGUCAGAGCGCCUUCCAGCGGUACUACGACAUAUAAUUACGCUGCGGCUUGCUGGAUCUCUCCGCCAUACUACACGACGCACUCAGUUACAUGUAAGCCAACCCUGAUUUUGCUUGCAUAUACCUGCUUUUUGCCUUAAUUUUCGAGCCACUAUCGAUGCGAUUAGUAAAUAAUAUUCAGUGCGUAAAUUGCUAUUAGAAACAAUAUUUUAUAUCGGAAAUAACACACACAGAAUAACUCCGUAUACGAGAAUAUUCAAACAUCUUUUUGCAAUUUGGGGAAAGAGUGUUUAAUUUUUAUUUAUUUAUUGUUUCUUUUUGAGGCCGCUGGGUCACUUGAUACUGGCACGUUACUUUCUUAAUUUCGAGCUCGUUUAAAAAUAAACAAUAAAAAUAGCCGGUUUUUAUUUUUUGCAAUAGUUUAUUGUACUUGUAAAAUGUUUAUGUUAUAAUCAUAAAAACGUCCUUAUCUAAUAAAGAAAAAUAAUG
rnacentral:lncRNA from 1 species